rnacentral:tRNA from 1 species
AAAAAUUUAGUUAAAUAUUAUAACAUCAACUUGUCAAGUUGAAAUUAUCUAGUGAUAAUUUUUA